GACGAACGCUGGCCGCGUGCUUAACACAUGCAAGUCGAACGGAAAGGCCCUGCUUUUGUGGGGUGCUCGAGUGGCGAACGGGUGAGUAACACGUGAGUAACCUGCCCUUGACUUUGGGAUAACUUCAGCAAACUGGGGCUAAUACCGGAUAGGAGCUCCUGCUGCAUGGUGGGGGUUGGACAGUUUGGGCGGUUGGGGAUGGCCUCGCGGGUUAUCAGCUUGUUGGUGGGGUAGUUGCUUACGAAGGCUUUGACGGGUAGCCGGCCUGAGAGGGUGACCGGCCACAUUGGGACUGAGAUACGGCCCAGACUCCUACGGGAGGCAGCAGUGGGGAAUAUUGCACAAUGGGCGGAAGCCUGAUGCAGCAACGCCGCGUGCGGGAUGACGGGCUUCGGGUUGUAAACCGCUUUCGCCUGUGACGAAGCGUGAGGGACGGUAAUGGGUAAAGAAGCACCGGCUAACUACGUGCCAGCAGCCGCCGUAA
rnacentral:rRNA from 1 species